AUGAAAGAAAGUAUCCAGGGCAGGUCUAGAGGAAUCACAGUUCGUAUUGUCCCAGCAGGCUCGGUGCCGUGUAAACCUAACAUCUGUUUGUGUGCAGGCAGUGCUCUGAUGUGCAGAAUCACUGUCGGUGUCGUCAUCGUUCUCCCCAUCGCUGCUUUCCUCCCAUCGCUCCAGAAUCACUGUCGGUGUCGUCAUCGUUCUCCCCAUCGCUGCUUUCCUCCCAUCGCUCCAGGUCGCUGUCAGGGUGCUCAGCUCCCUGCAUGCUGGUGUGCUCUGACAGCAGAGAGGGCUUCAGACCAGAUGCACUCAGAACAGACACCAGAAUGUCUUUGAUAGCUUCAGCACUAUCUGGGUACGAUGCCAAACUUCCAGCAUGUCCAAUUACGGCUGGCCUGGAGUAUUCAUCUGUUCAGAAAGAGAAGAGAAAGAUAGUUAGGAAACGAUAAUAAAAACAGUUAAUUUACAACAUGAAUAAAAUGCACGUUAUUUUCAGCAUGAGUGAGAAGAAAGGGAAGAACUGAAUGCACGCACCACUGUGCCCUGCUUCAAGAAGGAUUUUGCUUUAUGCAAUCAGGAAGCAAUUCUAUCAUUGAUAAGGCCAAGUCAUAAACCAAGAGUAAAGAAUGCUUCUUCUAGCCAAACAUCAGUUAAGACUUUAACGGUGGCCAAUUGCCAGCACGCACAGAAGCAUCCUAGCUCUGCAACCCUCAGUGAGGUACAGAUAGGUAAUUUAUAGCCCUGCUACAGACUGUUUUCAUGGUUCUGUCCUAUUGCCAGUAAACAGAAAGUCACAUUACAGCAAGACACGUGCAGGAUCAGUACAAUGACAAGAAAAAGACAUGCACAGCUAGUAAUAAAAGGUCACGUGCUUGCAUGUUUCAGUUUAGUCAGACACUCCUCCAUCAGAAAGGCCAAAGUAACCUUCAGUCCAUUACACAGGAGUGGCAACGUUUACAGGAAAUCAGUUCUGUCACAGCGAGCUCAUUAGAAUGCCUCUGUGUGCCGUGGCCCUAAGUGAGCUACUGCAAAAUUGGAGACCAACAGAAAAUUGGAAAGCCGUGUUGAGUGGCAGCGGAAGUGUGAUGUAGGAGGGUGUGCUGCUAUCAGUAGAUGUUCAAGAAUAAACUGAGCCUGAAUCCUACACCUUCCACAGAAAGCUCCAUAGGAACUGCCGUCGUCUCAGAACGGAAAGGUUAGACAGAGUCUAUGUUCUUCAGAAGGAACUAUCAACCACAUCACGACAAAGCUAACAACUGUCUCCUUUGGGGAAGAUAAGGCUGUUGUAAAAUUCUAAGAAUAGAUACAAUCAAAGAGAUUCAUUUCCAGGGCAAAGAGCUGUUAGUUAGGACCACAGGGAAUGUUAAACCCCGCUAGUGAAAAAAGCAGACUGCAGACUUUGCCCAGGGGUUGUUCUCCUUGGGCGUAUCUCAACGGAAAACAACAAACCUCCCCAUGAGUAACUGCCCUGGAAACCAGCGUGCACUCAAAUUGCUCCUUAGAUAAGAAAGAUUAGUAAUGAAGGGAUCCAAAACAAAACACGCAGUCUGGAAAAGCAAGCCUAUAAACAGCAACCCCUCCUCAAGAAAGAAAAUGAGAAAAUUAACUGUUAGGAACAUCAUGUUCAAGCUGUGCUACAGGAGCUCCUGCAAAGCUGUCCUAGCGAAGCCAGACUUUAACACUGGUUGAGAUCAGCCACUAGGAACAAUGCUCUUGCACAAAUAGCAGCAAAACAGCAUUUUUUAUUGACUGCAUUUGCAAAGCAGACUGUGCUAGAAGCACCUUGACAACACAGCCAACCAUGCUAUAGCUUAAGGGCAGGAAUGGGAAAAUGAAGCCCAGCUGAUUUUNGUUGGUGGCCCUGCCUGUGGUGGGGGGGGUGGUUGGAGGUUCAUGAUCCUUGAGGUCUCUUCCAAACCGGUCCAUUCUGUGAUUCUGCGAAGUCUAGAUUCUAAAUAAUUACAAAAUAACAAGAUAGAAAAAUAAGACCAAGUCUCUUAAGAGAGACGUUGUUCUCUCACCUAUUUCUUUUUUUUUUUUUUUUCUUGGAAGAGAUUACCACUACCUGCAAUUCAAGGAGCUGCAGUGCAUAGCUGGAAGGAAAGGCCAGUUUAGUUGUAUACGAAGCCCUGACCUCCAGGCUGCCUGAUCACCCAGCAGUAUCAACUGACAUCAAAUGUGGUCACGCACCCACGGGGCCUAAUUUGUUAUAACGUUACUAUACGGAGUUGACGUCAGCAACGUGGUUGCACAAAGCAAAUGACACAACAGGAUAAUACUUGACCUGGCAUACAGCCGGCCAGUUUAAGCUGGCAAAAAAAUUUUGAACCCAUUCAAACAGAUUGAGCAGAUUUAUAGCAGAUAAGCACUUCGCUUUGUGUGGUAAGGUGCUG
ensembl:lncRNA